rnacentral:rRNA from 1 species
AGUUGCGAAGGCGGCUCUCUGGACUGUAACUGACGCUGAGGCACGAAAGCGUGGGGAGCAAACAGGAUUAGAUACCCUGGUAGUCCACGCUGUAAACGAUGAGUACUAGGUGUCGGGGGUUACCCCCCUCGGUGCCGCAGCUAACGCAUUAAGUACUCCGCCUGGGAAGUACGCUCGCAAGAGGGAAACUCAAAGGAAUUGACGGGGACCCGCACAAGUAGCGGAGCAUGUGGUUUAAUUCGAAGCAACGCGAAGAACCUUACCUAAGCUUGACAUCCCAAUGACAUCUCCUUAAUCGGAGAGUUCCCUUCGGGGACAUUGGUGACAGGUGGUGCAUGGUUGUCGUCAGCUCGUGUCGUGA